rnacentral:pre_miRNA from 1 species
CAACUACUCCCUCUGUCCCAAAUUUCUUGUCUUAGAUUUGUCUAGAUACGGAUGUAUCUAAUACUAAAAUGUGACUUGAUACAUCUGUAUCUAGACAAAUCUAAGACAAGAAUUUUGGGACGGAGGGAGUAAUUU